CAAGUCGAGCGCAGGAAACCAGAUGACCCCUUCGGGGUGAUUCUGGUGGAAUGAGCGGCGGACGGGUGAGUAACACUUUGGGCAACCUGCCUGUAAGACUGGGAUAACUUCGGGAAACCGGAGCUAAUACCGGAUAGUAUUUCCUUUCUCCUGAUUGGAAAUGGAAAGACGGUUUCGGCUGUCACUUACAGAUGGGCCCGCGGUGCAUUAGCUAGUUGGUGGGGUAAUGGCCCACCAAGGCGACGAUGCAUAGCCGACCUGAGAGGGUGAUCGGCCACACUGGGACUGAGACACGGCCCAGACUCCUACGGGAGGCAGCAGUAGGGAAUCUUCCGCAAUGGACGAAAGUCUGACGGAGCAACGCCGCGUGAGCGAUGAAGGCCUUCGGGUCGUAAAGCUCUGUUGUUAGGGAAGAACAAGUACGAGAGUAACUGCUCGUACCUUGACGGUACCUAACCAGAAAGCCCCGGCUAACUACGUGCCAGCAGCCGCGGUAAUACGUAGGGGGCAAAGC
rnacentral:rRNA from 1 species